AUCGAUUGAGUCUUAGUAGUGGGUACAACUGUUAAGUGAGCUGAUGUGGCAAAGCCAUCUAUAAAUAUCUACACAGCUGAAGGGAAAUGCAGUUAUGGAAACAUUGGUAAUCUCUUCUAGAAACUUCUACUUCUUCUUCGUUCUCUCUUCUCUCAUCUUCUUUCCUUCUUAACUAUCAUUCUCACUUCACUCACAAGUCAUUAAUGGCGACACCAAGUAGGCUAUGGUGAUUAUAAUCUAGUUAUCGAUCCACAGUUUAUGAGUAAUAAAAUUUCCUAAUUCAUUUGUGUCAAUUGUCAAUUUUACGAAUUCGAACUCGAUUAGCAGUGCUGACAUCAGAGUGUUACAGUUAGUAUCAAAGUCACGUCUUGGCCAUUACACAUGACGAUUAUAGAAACAAGAUCGAAAGAUAUGGAGGAAAAUAUAAAGAAAUUGGAAUUUCAGUUACAAAACCACAUCGCAGAGGCAAAUUAGAAAACAGAAAUAACAGAUGGAAAAAUCGAUGAUCUAGGCCAAAAACUAGAUUUAUUGAUGGAUGUAAUGAUGGCCAAAAGAUAUGGAAUAUUGGGGGCGCCUCUAGGAGUAACAUCAUCAGCUGGAGGUUCCGAUAACCACUAUAAACCGGUAGAAUUGGAGAAUACACUUGCAACACAAAAUCAGAUAAGUAACUUUAGUCACAAGGUUGAGUUUCCAUAUUUUGAGGAAGGAGAUCCCCAAUCAUGGUUACAUAAGUGUGAGAGGUAUUUUUAUUAUAAUCAAGUUGAAAAUCCCAAGGAAAAGCUGCAGAUGGCAGUACUACAUUUGAAUGGUAGAGCAGAAUCAUGGUAUUUUUCAUUCCACCUUAGUAAAGAUGUAGUGAAAUGGGGGGAGUUUGUGGAGGAAAUCUAUAAAAAGUUCUCUGAUUCCAUUAAUAGUACCAUGAAUCUGUUGGGAGAGUUUAAAAAGUUGGAACAAACAGGCACGGUGAAUGAAUACCUAGAAAGGUUUGAAGAUCUCAAGGUUUAGGUAAUGAUGAGAAACCCUACAAUUUUGAAGGAAUUUUUCUUGGGAUUUUUUAUUGAAGGCUUAAAGGAAGGGAUUAAACACAUAUUAAAAAUGCUAGACCCCCACUUUGACUCAAGCAGUGGAUAAGGCUCGACAUCAGGAGAAUUUAUUAGAGUCAAACAGUAAAAGAAAAAGGGUUACAUGGGAUAAAAAUGCUACACCUGCAGGUUUUCAACAUCAACAAAAUCCAAAUAGUGCUACUAGGUUCAACAAAGACAAUCAAGGAGCCUUAGGACCCGGGAGUAGUAGCUUGAGGGAGAAUAGGAGAUUACAAGGGCUGUGUUAUAAAUAUAGAUAUAAAUAUGUCUAUGGUCAUCAGUGUAAAUCCAAGAAGCUCAAUGCUAUUUCAGGUGAGAUGAAUCAAGAAGAAGUGUAAGGUGAAAUUGUAAAUGAAGAGAUAGUGGAAGAAGACAUUCCAUUCACUGAAGAAGAGACAAUGGAUGAGGCCAUCAUUUUACAUGCUCUAUCAGGAAUUGAGAUCCUAAAUACUAUCAGACUCAGAGGCAAAUGUAAAAAAAAAAAGCUCACCAUUUUGUUGAAUUCUGGUUGUACACAUAGUUUCCUAGACAUGGAAACAGCUAAGGAAAUGGGUUGUGUAAUUAAGGAAUCUCAUCCAAUGAGGGUGACAGUUGCUAAUGGAAGUCUGUUAAUGAUUUACCAUAUUUGUCCUAAGUUUAAAUGGGUAAUUCAGAGUGUGGAAUUUGAGGACUCUGUAAGGCUCAUCAAGCUUGGGGCUGCUGAUAUGAUACUAAAAGGAGAUUGGAUAAGGAACCAUAAUCCAUUUUUAUUGGACUUUGUAGCUUAUGAAGCUCAAGUCACUCAUCAGGGAAAAAGGGUCAAGUUAAAAGGAUUAUAUCAUGAAGCCUCACUGAAGUCUAUGUCAGCAACCAGCCUAAAAUCAUUGUUCAAGAAAGGAAAGGUAUUUUGGUCCCAUUUAUUAACUAUGUCUGCAAAUGAGAUAGUUGAGAAGAAGAACUUACCAGGGGUUAUCAACUCUACUUUAGAGAAGUAUGCAUAUGUGUUCUUUGAGCCCACUUCCUUGCCUCCAAAAAGCUAUCAUGACCACUCUAUUCCUCUGAAACCUGAUGCCAUACCUGUAAGUAUCAGACCAUACCGAUGUAAUUUUUUCAGAAAAAUGAGAUUGAAAAAAAGAUUAAAGAGAUGAUGCAUAAUGGAAUUAUCCAACCCAGCCACUCCUUAUUCUCUUCCCUUGUGUUGUUGGUCAAAAAGAAGGAUGGAACUUGGAGGUUUUGCGUUGAUUAUAGGGAGCUUAACAAAAUGACUGUGAAGGAUAAAUUCCCUAUUCCCGUAGAAGAUGAUUUGUUGGAUGAAUUACAUGGUGCCUCCAUAUUUUCUAAAAUCGAUCUUAGGGCAGGCUAUUAUCAGAUCAGGAUGCAUGCAGAUGAUAUCUCCAAAACGUCAUUUAGAACUCACUUGGAUCACUAUGAGUUCAAAGUGAUGCCCUUUAGCCUCACCAAUGCACCAGCCACAUUUCAAAGUCUGAUGAACUAUGUAUUUAGAGACUAUAUCAGACAAUUUAUGUUGGUAUUCUUUGAUGACAUACUAGUUUAUAGUUCCAGCCUAAGCGCACAUGUUAUUCAUCUGGAAAGGUUGUUAGGAGUGUUGAGGAAGAAGCAAAUCUUUGCUAAAUAGUCUAAAUGUGCAUUUGGGCAAGAAAGGGUUGAGUAUCUUGGCCACAUAAUAACUGGGGCUGGUGUAUCUACUGACCCUAUAAAAAUUGUAGCUAUGGUUACUUAGCCUGUUCCCAAGCCUAUCAAAGCAUUAAGAGGGUUUUUAGGCUUGACUGGGUACUAUAUGAGGUUCAUAAGGAAUUAUGGGUGGAUCAAUAAACCUCUGAUGAAUCUAUUGAAGAAAAACUCUUUCAGUUGGAAUGUUGAUGCAAAGUCUGCUUUCCAGGAGCUAAAAGGUGCAAUGUCGACUGCCCUUGUUUUAGCUCUAGCUAAUUUUAACAAGGAGUUCACUGUGGAAACUAAUGCAUGCUCUAGAGGUAUUGGGGCGGUGCUAAUGCAGGAAGGUAGAUCGAUUGCUUUUUUUAGCAAAACUCUAGCUCCCAAGAAUUGGGGUCUUUCCACCUAUGAAAAAGAAUAUAUAGCAGUUUUGGCUGCUGUGGACAGGUGGAGACACUAUUUGAUGAGUGGACAUUUUGUUAUCAAAACUGAUCAUCAGAGCUUAAAGUACCUAUUAGAGCAAAGAGUGACCACUGCCUUACAACAAAAGGGUUUGACUAAGUUGAUGGGCAUGGACUAUGAUGUAAAAUACAAAAAAGGCACUGCAAAUCGGGUUGUUGAUGUGCUUUCCAGAAGGCAUAAAACAGAGUAUACACUAGCUACUAUCACCACUAUAGAACCAACAUGGAUGCACACUUAGCUAUGAACAUGACCCCUAUUCCUUGUAACUCUUGACGGAUCUCACCACUAAUCCUAGACAACAAGGCAAGUAUUCUUUACAAUAGGGUACCAUCCGAUAUGAUCAUAAGCUACUCAUUGGGAAAGGUACUGAUUUAAGGAAAAAGAUUUAGGAAUUUCUACAUCCAUCUCCAUUAGGUGGUCACUCUGGGCAACAAGCUACUUAUAGAAGAAUCAAGAUGAAUUUUACUGGCCACACAUGAAGAAGGACAUUUUGCAGUGGGUGUCUGAGUGUGAUGUAUGCCAGAGGAUUAAAACUGAAAAUGUUCAGUCUCCAAGGCUGUUACAUCCUCUACCAAUUCCUGAGACCCCAUGGCAAGACAUAGGCAUGGAUUUUAUAAAUUGAUUGCCUAUAUCUUACAAUAAUAAUUUAGUAUUAGUAGUGGUGGAUAGACUGACCAAAUAUGGUCACUUUAUUGCAUUUAAACACCCAUAUUCUUCACAAGAGGUGGCAGAUGUUUUCUUAAAGGAGAUCUACAGACUUCAUGGACUACCUAUUUCUAUUUUCAUAGAUAGAGGGUCAGUUUUUACUAGCCAAUUCUGGCAAUAACUUUUCAAGGCAUUGGGUACUAGACUUAACCUUACAACAACAUAUCACCCCCAAGCAGAUGGUCAAACGGAGCGACUAAAUAGAUGCUUAGAAAUAUAUCUUUGUGCAAUGGUGUUUGCUAAUCCUUAGCAAUGGGUUACGUGGUUGCACCUGAUGAAAUGGUGGUAUAACACCAACCACCAUAGUGCCCUCAAAACCACUCCAUUUGAGGUGUUGUAUGGGUUUCCUCCCCUACAGUUACCCAUGGGAUACCUAGGCCAUUCUAUUUAUACUCAGGUGGGGGCAGAUCUUGCUCGUAGACAAUUACUGUUGCAAUAAUUAAAAAUAAUUUAUCAGUGCCCCAAGCGAGAAUGAAGUUUUACGCUGAUAAACGGAGGUAGGAGAGGACAUUGGCAGUAGGUGAUUUGGUCUAUCUUAAUCUCCAACUUUAACGACAGGCUUCAGUGGAGGUGCGCAGAAAUCUUAAACUGAGUGCUAAAUUUUAUGGCCUAUACAAGAUAAUGGAUAGGGUGGGAACAAUAGCUUACCAUUUAGAGUUGCUGCCAGGGUCAUGAAUCCACCCUGUUUUCCAUGUGUCAUAGCUGAAACAGCACAUAGGGCUCUCUGUGGUCUCUUAACAAUAACCCCCCCAGUUGUGAUGCUGAAGGUAGUAUCUUGGUUGAACUCAUUGCCAUCAUCAAACAUUAUCUCAUCAAACUGAAUAACACUAUUGCUGUCAAGGUGCUUGUGCAGUGGUCCAAUAUGAGUCCAGCUGAAGCAACCUGGGAAGAUUGGUCCUAUAUUCGUAGUAGAUUUCCGCAAUUUAUGGCUCGUUCUUGACCUUGAGGAAAAGAUCAUUCUUGCAGGGGUAGGGAUUGUUAUAUCCUAAGGAGAAAAUUGAGAGAAAAUUGGAUUGAGAAUAACAGAUCGAUUGAGGCUUAGUAGUGGGUCCAACUGUUAAGUGAGCUGACGUGGCAAACCCAUCUAUAAAUAUCUACACAACUGAAGGGAAAGGAAGUUAUGGAAAUAUUGGUAAUUUCUUCUAGAAACUUUUGCUUCUUCUUUGUUCUCUUUUUUCUCAUCUUCUUCCUUUCUUAACUAUCAUUCUCACUUCACUCAUAGGUCAUUAAUGGCGACACCAUGCAGGCUAUGGAGAUUAUAGUCUGGUUUUCUUCCCUUAAUAAUUGUAAUCGAUCCACAGUUUAUGAGCAAUAAAAUUUCCCAAUUCGUUUGUGUCAAUUGUCAAUUUUACGAAUUCAAACUCGAUUAGCAGUGCUUACAAGUGUUACAGUUUCCUGCUUCGUUUGCAUUUUAAAUUUUAGUUUACCCAUUUUAUUUUUCUGAAACAUAGGUAACUCCUCCAUUACUUCAAUUCCUUUAGGAACAGUGAAAUCUCCGUUAAAUCUAGGAGGUUCACAUAUUGCUUGUGCUUUUUCAAUUAGAGGAUCAUCUUCUAAUUUUUUCAGCCCAUGAUUUUUUUCAUGUUCUACAGAAACAUCUUUUAUUAGAUCAAAUAAGAAAUGUUUACCUCUUAUCUUAAUGUUUAAAACUUCUUUUCCAGCACCAUUAUUGAUGAAACAAUGUUUAUCCUCAAAUACUACUUUGUAUCCUUUUUCUACCAACUGAUAAAUACUCAAUAAGUUUUGUCAAUAUCAGGUACAUAAAGAACAUCCGAAAUUACUUUAUUAUCUGAACUUAUUUUGAUGACAACAGUUCUUUUUCCUUCAAUAAAAAUUUGGUCACCAUUUUCGAUCCUAACUUUGGAUAUUUAGUAGGCUUUAAUUCUGUAAACAAACUCUUGUUAUAAGUCAUGUGAUUGGUGCAACCGCUAUCAAUCAACCAAAAAUUUGUUGAAACCUUACUUGAGAUACAUGUUGCAAUAAAAAGAUGGUCUUCUUCUUCUUUAUUGACCACACGUGCAUCUGCUUCAUGAUUUUCAAAAUUGCUUUUGCAAAUCACUGCUUCAUGGCGAAGUUGAUUGCACUUGAUGCACUUCGCUUCUGAACUUUUCCAAUAUUUAUAUGGUGGAUGACCCAUUUUCCCACAGUGCUCACAAGGUGGGUAAUUUUUUUAAAUUUUUACCCCUUUUUUGAGUUUUGUAGUUGGCUGCUAAGGCUCCUUCAACUAUACCAUCUUGCCUCAUAAGUUUUCUUUGUUCCAGUGCCUGAAAAGAAUUUAACAACUCCGCCAAAGUAAUCUUGGAUAGAUCUUGUGUAUUUUUCAAGGUAGUUAUACAUACUUCAUAUCUUUCGGACACCAUAACAAGAAUUUUUGCAAUAAUUCUUGAAUCUUUAAAUUCAGUGCCUAGUAAUCUUACCUUGUUAACAAUGCCAAGUAAUCUGUCAGAGUACUCUUUGACUGUCUCGGAGUCUUUCAUUCUCUGCAACUCAAACUCUCUUAUUAAAUUCAAUACAUUCUGCAGAUUCUUUCAUCUCCAGCAUAUUUUUUCUUCAGAUAAUCCUAAAUUUCUUUUGGUGAUGUGAGAGAUAUAAUUCUUGUAAAAAUAGUUGUUGAAAUAAAAGCAAACAGAUUUGCCUUUGCCUUUGCCUUAGAUUUCGUGGUUUUUUUUCCCUUGUGACUCUUGAUUUAGAUUGUGGUGGGAUUAUUUGGCAGCAAAAUAAUUUCAUAAUUAUCUUUCACAGCUUUCCAUAGAUCAAGAUCCUCCAAGUAAGUUUUCAUUCUCACAGUCCAUAAUUAAUAAUUUUCACCAUAAAAAAUGGGUGGAGCCAUUCGUGAAAAACUAUUUUCAGAAUCCAUCUCUUCACAGUUCACUCACAGUUCUCUCAAGAAAAAUAGCUCUAGAUACCAAUUGUUGGUUUUAAUACUUUUAAAAACUAAAAAUAAAGAUGAGUUAGAAGAGAAGAGAUACAGAGAAGUUUAUUUUUUUUUCUGGUAAAAUUGUAUAUUAUUGAUCAUCAACUCCUCCUUAAAUAGUGGUUAUUACAACCAAAAAUAGGUUAAACUUACCAUAAAAAAAAUAACCUAUUUGCUACCAAAAAUAAUAACUAAUCAGUUCCUACCAAAAAUAAGAAUCCCAAUUUGACUUGAGUUGUAUGUUAAAAAAAUGGAGAGAAUAAAAAAAUAAAUCACGUGCAUUACUUAAAGAAACUUUUAACAGAUACAUAUUAUCACAAAGAGACACAACUUAUAAAAACACAGAAAUAUACAUACUAAUACCGUCAAAAUAUUUUACGAGAUACAUAAUAACCAAAAGAGAUACAAGAAUCUAAAAUAACAGAUACUUAUACAACAUUCUAUGAGAAAUGAAUAACUUUACACCCAUAUCAUAACGAAUACUUAUACAACAUUCUACGGGCAUACUUUUUUGGAUCUCUAUGUAUAGCUUUACACCCAUAUCAUUAUGGAUAAACAAGGGAGAUGAGUUUCCAUCAACAAUGUAUCGAACUUCAAUUCUUUUCUUUGUUUCGCCGAUUUCAAGUUCUACAACAAUGACCGAACUUGACAUCAUUAAUCCAAAUAUCGCAUUGAUGUAAUAAAACAAAAAUAUUCAUUGCAAAUAGUUGAAAAAAAAUAAUUAGCACGAAGAAAGAUAAAAUGAGAAGAAGAAGGAGUUUGCAAAUGAGAAAAAAUCACACUACAAUGACAUCACUCUUAUAGCCCUCGUACUUGACAUCAUUAAUUCAAACAUCGGAAUGACAUAAUAAUUCAGAAAUAUUCAUUGAAAAUAGUUCAAGAAGAAUCAAGAACCUCAAAAAAAUGAUGUAGAAUAAAUCUGCAAAACGAUUAUCGAAAUGAAUUUGUUCAGAAUUGUAAUUACUAAUUAAUUACUAUUUUUUGAGGGAUUUUCUUUAGUUACCUAGUUGAUUGAUUGAGUUAAUAGCUAAUUUAGUGAUUUACUAACUGUUACAACCCUUAAGUAAAGCUAAUCAGUCAAUUAAUAAGAUGUAUCAUUAAGAUCUAUCUGAUUUACAUUUAUAUAUUUGAAAUCAUACAAAAAGGAAUUUUAUGAGAUUUUGAAAAAAAUUGAAAUAACAUGUAAAGAUGGAUAAACUUUUCGGGGUUUACCUAAAUUUUACAUUAAAUAAAGUUAUGAGAAAAAAAUAUUAAAACCCAUUAAAAAUCCAAAAUAUAUGUAAGUUAUCUUUUUUCUUUAUUCCCCCUAUUCAUGGAACUAUUCAUAUUAUAUGACAAUUUAGGUCUCAUCAUCAACUUAUUGUGAAUUCAUAUUAUAACAUGGCAUUUUGGUUUUCAUAUUUAAUUAAAAAUAAUUUAUUUUACAUAAUUAAAAAUGUAUUAAUAAAAAAAUUCAAAUUAAUAUUAUAUAAAUAAAUAAAAGUUUACAUAAUCAAGAAAUAAUAUUAAACUGAUACCACUUAAAUGAGAAUCUAUACAUAUAUAUAAAGGAAGCUUAGACUGCUGAUGUGACAUACUUUUAUAGCCUUCAUUCCCUUUUUUCCUUUUUCUCAAUUUUUUCUAUUUUUUCUCUAUUUAAUUAUUAUAUUAAAUAGUUAAUAGUUCUUAAUUACACCUUCCCAUUUACUAUUCUUUAUUUUCCACAACUUUAUCAAUUUUCAGAAUUCAAAAGGUUAUCAAUAUUUCUUUAAAUAACUCCACUUAAAUAGGUAUUCUAUAAAAUAAAAUAAUUUCUGCAGCAAACAACCCGACUAGCUCACAAUCAAACAACUCUGCAGUAACUCAUCGACGAAAAAGGGGCCGCUGAGCGUCCGCCGCUUCAGUUGUAAAAGCAAAAUAUCUCUUUGAUUGUUGUGAGUUUUGAUUUUUGUGGGUGCCGCUUCAGUUGUGAAAGAAAACUUUCUUCAGAAGUAGGGAGAUUACGGUUGACAACCAUUGAAGAUCCGAGGUAUUAUUUUUGCUUAUCCAAUAUUUCCUUUCUUACAAUCACCAUUUCUCACAAUUUUCAAUGAUUCGGGUACCUUCUGUCUUAUCUGCCUGUGACGACCUUGAACCCGUCGCUUGUACUGCCAUUGUCAACCGUCGAUUCUGUUACACCAAAGAUCUUUCAGUAGACCUAGGAAAAGCAAAAAAUUUAUCAGAAAAUUAAAUCUUGAAAGUACAGAUUUCAAAAAUUUUCUCAGAAAAAUUGAAUAUUGAAAUAAAGAAGAAAGUGACGAAUAAUUUUGAGCCAACGACGACAAUGGCUGCCGAAUCGAUCAAAACCAUAUCAUCGUUCUUUUUUACAGGAAUGGCGGAUGAAGCAACAACUCUCUAUUUGCUGCUGCUACUUUGGAAGUUUCGUUUUUGCUUCUACUGAAUUUAAUACUACUACAUUGGGUGAUGUACACUGUGUAUCUUUGAUUGUGCUCUUAUGAUAUUGAUGAUAAAAGGUCCGAUGAGGAAAUACGAGGAUGAAGAAGACAUUUUGAUUAUUGAAGGUAUGUCGAAGAAAUCGAAAAUGAAUUCAAUAGAAACGCGAAAGAGAGUGUAUUUAAUAUUUUUUCCC
rnacentral:lncRNA from 1 species